rnacentral:rRNA from 1 species
AAAAAAGGUAAGCUACUAAGAGCGAAUGGUGGAUGCCUUGACUGGUAAAGGCGAUGAAGGACGUACUAGACUGCGAUAAGCUACGGGGAGCUGUCAAGAAGCUUUGAUCCGUAGAUUUCCGAAUGGGGCAACCCAAUGUAUAGAGAUAUACAUUACCUAUAUAGGAGCGAACGAGGGGAAUUGAAACAUCUUAGUACUCUCAGGAAAAGAAAUCAAUAGAGAUUGCGUCAGUAGCGGCGAGCGAAAGCGCAAGAGGGCAAACCCAGUGCUUGCACUGGGGGUUGUAGGACUGCAAUAUGCAAGAGGUAAGUUUAGCAGAACAUUCUGGAAAGUAUAACCAUAGAGGGUGAUAGUCCCGUAUGCGAAAAACAAACCUUAGCUAGCAGUAUCCUGAGUAGGGCGGGACACGAGGAAUCCUGUCUGAAUCCGGGUCGACCACGAUCCAACCCUAAAUACUAAUACCAGAUCGAUAGUGCACAAGUACCGUGAGGGAAAGGUGAAAAGAACUGAGGUGAUCAGAGUGAAAUAGAACCUGAAACCAUUUGCUUACAAUCAUUCAGAGCCCUAUGUAGCAAUACAGGGUGAUGGACUGCCUUUUGCAUAAUGAGCCUGCGAGUUGUGGUGUCUGGCAAGGUUAAGCAAACGCGAAGCCGUAGCGAAAGCGAGUCUGAAUAGGGCGCUUAGUCAGAUGCUGCAGACCCGAAACGAAGUGAUCUAUCCAUGAGCAAGUUGAAGCUAGUGUAAGAACUAGUGGAGGACUGAACCCAUAGGCGUUGAAAAGCCCCGGGAUGACUUGUGGAUAGGGGUGAAAGGCCAAUCAAACUUCGUGAUAGCUGGUUCUCUCCGAAAUAUAUUUAGGUAUAGCGUUGUGUCGUAAUAUAAGGGGGUAGAGCACUGAAUGGGCUAGGGCAUACACCAAUGUACCAAACCCUAUCAAACUCCGAAUACCUUAUAUGUAAUCACAGCAGUCAGGCGGCGAGUGAUAAAAUCCGUCGUCAAGAGGGAAACAACCCAGACUACCAGCUAAGGUCCCUAAGUCUUACUUAAGUGGAAAACGAUGUGAAGUUACUUAAACAACCAGGAGGUUGGCUUAGAAGCAGCCAUCCUUUAAAGAAAGCGUAAUAGCUCACUGGUCUAGUGAUUUUGCGCGGAAAAUAUAACGGGGCUAAAGUAAGUACCGAAGCUGUAGACUUGCGCACAACUUAGAUUAUUUAAGUUUAGAAUAUGAGAAACUAAGUUAUGUUUAGUUAUAUUUUUACUGAUUUUUAUAGAGUAAAGAUAGAAAUAAAACUUAGUAAAAUCAGUAAAAAUAUUCUUAGGCUAAAGUUAAGUAGUUUAAGUUGUGUGCAAGUGGUAGGAGAGCGUUCUAUUUGCGUCGAAGGUAUACCGGUAAGGAGUGCUGGAGCGAAUAGAAGUGAGCAUGCAGGCAUGAGUAGCGAUAAUUAAUGUGAGAAUCAUUAACGCCGUAAACCCAAGGUUUCCUACGCGAUGCUCGUCAUCGUAGGGUUAGUCGGGUCCUAAGUCGAGUCCGAAAGGGGUAGACGAUGGCAAAUUGGUUAAUAUUCCAAUACCAACAUUAGUGUGCGAUGGAAGGACGCUUAGGGCUAAGGGGGCUAGCGGAUGGAAGUGCUAGUCUAAGGUCGUAGGAGGUUAUACAGGCAAAUCCGUAUAACAAUACUCCGAGAACUGAAAGGCUUUUUGAAGUCUUCGGAUGGAUAGAAGAACCCCUGAUGCCGUCGAGCCAAGAAAAGUUUCUAAGUUUAGCUAAUGUUGCCCGUACCGUAAACCGACACAGGUGGGUGGGAUGAGUAUUCUAAGGCGCGUGGAAGAACUCUCUUUAAGGAACUCUGCAAAAUAGCACCGUAUCUUC